GGCCAACGUGCCUGGAUCCGCCAGAAAACCGGAGAGACAUGGUGCCGGGCCUAAUGUUCCGCUUGUCUGUGGGCAGCUGUAACUUCAAAGGAGAACAAAACAUCACCGGCUUGACUUGGAUGCUUGGACAGUCUGAGGUGGAAGAACAGUGUGGGACUGUGCCUCACCUUUCCAGGACCCUGUGACAAUUCCUCUGUUCUGUCUUGUGAGCUUUCCUUUCUUAAUAAAUCCCUUUGCCCUUUAA